GACGAACGCUGGCGGCGUGCUUAACACAUGCAAGUCGAACGGAAAGGCCCCUUUGGGGGUACUCGAGUGGCGCACGGGUGCGUAACACGUACGUAACCUGCCCUUGACUUCGGGAUAACUUCAAGAAACUGGGGCUAAUACCGGAUAGGAAUCCUUGCUGCAUGGUGGGGGUUGGAAAGCUUCGGCGGUUUUGGAUGGACUCGCGGCUUAUCAGCUUGUUGGUGGGGUAGUGGCUUACCAAGGCUUUGUAGGGUAGCCGGCCUGAGUGGGCGACCGGCCACAUUGGGACUGAGAGACGGCCGAGACUCCGACGGGAGGCAGCAGGGGGGAAGAUUGAACAAUGGGCGGAAGCCUGAUGCAGCAACGCUGCGUGCGGGAUGACGGCCUUCGGGUUGUAAACCGUUUUCAGCAGGGGCGAAGCUUGUGGUGACGGUACCUGCAGAAGAAGCACCGGCUAACUACGUG
rnacentral:rRNA from 1 species